rnacentral:rRNA from 1 species
UACGUAGGGGGCUAGCGUUGUCCGGAUUUAUUGGGCGUAAAGAGCGUGUAGGCGGCCAGGUAGGUCCGCUGUGAAAGUCCGAGGCUCAAUCUCGGAAUGUCGGCGGAAACCCUCUGGCUAGAGUCCGGAAGAGGAGAGUGGAAUUCCCGGUGUAGCGGUGAAAUGCGCAGAUAUCGGGAAGAACACCCGUGGCGAAGGCGGCUCUCUGGAACGGUACUGACGCUGAGACGCGAAAGCGUGGGGAGCGAACAGG